rnacentral:rRNA from 1 species
UACGAAGGGGGCUAGCGUUGCUCGAAAUGACUGGGCGUAAAGGGCGCGUAGGCGGCGGUCACAGUCAGAUGUGAAAUUCCUGGGCUUAACCUGGGGGCUGCAUUUGAUACGUGGUUGCUUGAGUGGGGAAGAGGGUCGUGGAAUUCCCAGUGUAGAGGUGAAAUUCGUAGAUAUUGGGAAGAACACCGGUGGCGAAGGCGGCGACCUGGUCCGUGACUGACGCUGAGGCGCAAAAGCGUGGGGAGCAAACAGG